UCCCUGGUGGCUCAGGGGUUAAAGCAUCCGCCUCCAAUGCGGGAGACCCGGGUUCAAUCCCUGGGUCGGGAA
rnacentral:tRNA from 1 species